rnacentral:misc_RNA from 1 species
GAUGAAGAACGUAGUGAAAUGCGAUAAGUAAUGCGAAUUGCAGAAUUUCCGUGAGUCAUCGAAUCUUUGAACGCACAUUGCGCCCACUGGUAUUCCGGUGGGCAUGUCUGUUCGAGCGUCAUUUCAACCCUCGAACCCCUCCGGGGGGUCGGCGUUGGGGAUCGGCCCUGCCUCUUGGCGGUGGCCGUCUCCGAAAUACAGUGGCGGUCUCGCCGCAGCCUCUCCUGCGCAGUAGUUUGCACACUCGCAUCGGGAGCGCGGCGCGUCCACAGCCGUUAAACACCCAACUUCUGAAAUGUUGACCUCGGAUCAGGUAGGAAUACCCGCUGAACUUAAGCAUAUCAAUAAGCGGAGGA